CAGGCUUAACACAUGCAAGUCGAGCGCCCCGCAAGGGGAGCGGCAGACGGGUGAGUAACGCGUGGGAAUCUACCUUUUGCUACGGAACAACAGUUGGAAACGACUGCUAAUACCGUAUGUGCCCUUCGGGGGAAAGAUUUAUCGGCAAAGGAUGAGCCCGCGUUGGAUUAGCUAGUUGGUGAGGUAAAGGCUCACCAAGGCGACGAUCCAUAGCUGGUCUGAGAGGAUGAUCAGCCACACUGGGACUGAGACACGGCCCAGACUCCUACGGGAGGCAGCAGUGGGGAAUAUUGGACAAUGGGCGCAAGCCUGAUCCAGCCAUGCCGCGUGAGUGAUGAAGGCCCUAGGGUUGUAAAGCUCUUUCACCGGUGAAGAUAAUGACGGUAACCGGAGAAGAAGCCCCGGCUAACUUCGUGCCAGCAGCCGCGGUAAU
rnacentral:rRNA from 1 species